UGGGGAAUAUUGGACAAUGGGCGCAAGCCUGAUCCAGCCAUGCCGCGUGAGUGACGAAGGCCUUAGGGUUGUAAAGCUCUUUUGGCGGGGAAGAUAAUGACGGUACCCGCAGAAUAAGCUCCGGCUAACUUCGUGCCAGCAGCCGCGGUAAUACGAAGGGAGCUAGCGUUGUUCGGAAUCACUGGGCGUAAAGCGCACGUAGGCGGAUUUGUUAGUCAGGGGUGAAAUCCCGGGGCCCAACCUCGGAAUUGCCUCUGAUACUGGCUGUCUAGAGUUCGAGAGAGGUGAGUGGAAUUCCUAGUGUAGAGGUGAAAUUCGUAGAUAUUAGGAAGAACACCGGUGGUCGAAGGCGGCUCACUGGCUCGAUACUGACACUGAGGCGCGAAAGCGUGGGGAGCAAACAGGAUUAGAUACCCAGGUAGUCCCUGAGCGGGCUGGCAAGGCGCAU
rnacentral:rRNA from 1 species